UCUGCAUUGUAAAACACAACUCCUUUAAAGUCUGUUUCAUUUGGAAGAGUAAUUUACUGGGAGAGCCAUGUGUAAGAAGUUUGAAUUAUGAGCUUCAUAGUUGAGAAUUUUUUAAAGCAGACAUCAGAUUGAGUAAAACUGAGGAUGCGGCUUUAAAACAUGAGCUAGAACCUGGUUUGUUCUUAAAAGUAUUUAAUUUUUUAUUGGAAUUAAGAGUUAAACAUUUUUAGUUAGGAAUCAGAGGAGACUGAAAAGCCUAGCUCUGUGUCUGUGUUUCUCAAUAUUUAUAAUAACUGAAGUUUGAGGAACUGAAGUUAGGUCUGAACUUUCCUUGGACAAAGGAAGACAAGUGACCUCCAUACACCACUGAUGUCACCUUCCACUCAGCAGGGAAGCAGAGAGAGAAAGGCUGACUAGAGACAUGAAACUUUGCUAAAACCAAAACUCAAAUCCAUGUCCCAACCAAAGUGAUUCCAAAUAUUGGAACCUCCAGUUCUAUCUCCAAUAGAUAAUUCUAGUUAAUUUCUAAAUCCCUAAACCCAUCUGAGACUGGCACCACAGUGGAUGGAUAAUUACAGUAUUUAAAUAAGUUAAUUAGGAGCCAUUUACCAAAACAAGAAAACUCCACAAAUCAUUUGAAAUAUGUAACAUAGGAGCAAUACGUUUGUAUCCUUAUAUAAAUCUCAAACAGCCUGCAGAUGCUGCUGUGUGCCUUGAAUUUUAAUUGCAUAUUCUAAAGAGGGGUUCUUUUUAACUAUUUUAGAAUUUAUUUUAUGUGCAUGAGCGUUUCAACCCAUGUAUGUUGUGCACACCUGGUCCUUCAAGGUCAGAAUGACUCAGAUCACCUAGAACUGGAUAACAACGGCUGUGAGUCACCACAUGGGUCCUGGGACCUGAACCCAGAACCUCUGCAGGAACAGUAUGUGCAUGUGACCAGUGCACUGGAUUCCCUGCAGCUGCAGUGGUUAGGAGAUGACUGGCAUGGAUACUGGGAAUUAAUUUGGGUCCUCAAGAAAGGCAACAUAUGCCCAUGACUGCUGAGCCAUGUCUCCAGCCAUGAAGACUGACUUUUUUACAAAGAGCAACACUAAAGAAACUACAAUGUGUAUUCUGUUAAGACUCCUUUUCAUGUGUUGCUGUCAAUAUAACAUGUAAAUAAAUCCUAAAUAUAGAAUAAAAUUAUAAAUUUUCCUUCACAAUUUUCCAUGAAUGUCUAAAAUGCUGCUUGGCAGUGGAGUGGGUUCAUAUCCCCAGGUGUUCUAUCAACGAGGUUCACCUCUGCACCACCAUAGAGAAGCUCUUUCCUCUGUCAUUCCUUCCUUAUCACCAGGAAACUACUCUUAACUAAGAUGCUAACUUCUUAACUCAGCUAGCACAUGGUUAUGUGGCACAGCUUAAUAAGCAAUGUAAUAAAUACUGUAAACCCCCAGGGAAAGAAUGUAAAGUACAUUUCAUGUAAUGAUUAAGUAGUCUUACAUUUGUAAGACUCAUAAAAACCACUAAUAACUCUAAUUCUUCAACCUCUUAUGCCAUCUAAAUGUAUUUAAAAAAACACAUAAGGCCACUGCUUAGUCACCCUAUGAAAUUCUGUAAUAAAAUACCAUUUUUUAAAGAUCA